GAUGAACGCUGGCGGCGUGCCUAAUACAUGCAAGUCGAGCGAACAGAUGAGGAGCUUGCUCCUCUGACGUUAGCGGCGGACGGGUGAGUAACACGUGGAUAACCUACCUAUAAGACUGGGAUAACUUCGGGAAACCGGAGCUAAUACCGGAUAAUAUAUUGAACCGCAUGGUUCAAUAGUGAAAGACGGUUUUGCUGUCACUUAUAGAUGGAUCCGCGCCGCAUUAGCUAGUUGGUAAGGUAACGGCUUACCAAGGCAACGAUGCGUAGCCGACCUGAGAGGAUGAUCGGACACACUGGAACUGAGACACGGUCCAGACUCCUACGGGAGGCAGCAGUAGGGAAUCUUCCGCAAUGGGCGAAAGCCUGACGGAGCAACGCCGCGUGAGUGAUGAAGGUCUUCGGAUCGUAAAACUCUGUUAUUAGGGAAGAACAAAUGUGUAAGUAACUAUGCACGUCUUGACGGUACCUAAUCAGAAAGCCACGGCUAACUACGUG
rnacentral:rRNA from 1 species